AGUGAACGCUGGCGGUAGGCCUAACACAUGCAAGUCGAACGGCAGCACAGUAAGAGCUUGCUCUUACGGGUGGCGAGUGGCGGACGGGUGAGGAAUACAUCGGAAUCUACCUUUUCGUGGGGGAUAACGUAGGGAAACUUACGCUAAUACCGCAUACGACCUACGGGUGAAAGCAGGGGAUCUUCGGACCUUGCGCGAUUGAAUGAGCCGAUGUCGGAUUAGCUAGUUGGCGGGGUAAAGGCCCACCAAGGCGACGAUCCGUAGCUGGUCUGAGAGGAUGAUCAGCCACACUGGAACUGAGACACGGUCCAGACUCCUACGGGAGGCAGCAGUGGGGAAUAUUGGACAAUGGGCGCAGGCCUGAUCCAGCCAUACCGCGUGGGUGAAGAAGGCCUUCGGGUUGUAAAGCCCUUUUGUUGGGAAAGAAAAGCAGCAGGUUAAUACCCCGCUGUUCUGACGGUACCCAAAGAAUAAGCACCGGCUAACUUCGUG
rnacentral:rRNA from 1 species